UCUCCGUAGGUGAACCUGCGGAGGGAUCAUUACAGAGUUCAUGCCCUCACGGGUAGAUCUCCCACCCUGUGUUAUUAUACUUUGUUGCUUUGGCAGGCCGCCCGCGUGGGCUACCGGCUCCAGCUGGUAAGUGCCUGCCAGAGGACUCCAAACUCUGAAUAUUUUAUUGUCUGAGUACUAUAUAAUAGUUUAAAACUUUCAACAACGGAUCUCUUGGUUCUG
rnacentral:misc_RNA from 1 species